GGUGGAUUCGACCCACCGGUGUUGUCCUCUAGGGGAUAGCAUCAAACCACCAUAAGGUGCUUUGGUAAAGAGCCAAGGUAUUGAGCGUUAUGGAAACGACCAAUCCAAGAGUUUGGUCAGGU
rfam:Flavobacterium beibuense F44-8 contig30, whole genome shotgun sequence.